AAAUUCCUUCAAUCCCCUCCAUCUCUCCCUAAAACUAUUCAGCUAUUAAAAGGCGUUCCCUUUUCAGUAAACCAACCAGAAUUGGCCAUGAAAUUCAUGAUCCAAUCACAGCAUGACAUCCUGCUUUAAAUGUCUUCUCUCCUUGCUAUCAAUUGUCUUUUCAGGCAAACGUGCAACCCUCCUCCUCCCCUUCCACCUCCGGGCAUCGUCAACCACUGCAACCUGAGUUCCUUUCCGGCAGUCAGGUCCUUCGUUUGGUCUCUGGGUUCCGUCUUCAUCAUCACCAGUGUCUAGGCUUCAUCGGGGGGAAUACAUCUGGCUUCUCUACCACUUUAAAAUAUUUUUUAAUGAUGGAGUCUAAUCCCCAAAGACUCUGUACAUUUCUUAUUAUGCACAUGUACAAUAAAUCUUUGAAUAUCUGCAACAAAGUCUCUCCUGAUUGAAAUACCA